UUUGGUUAAGUUAGAAAGGGCGCACGGUGGAUGCCUUGACACUAGGAGUCGAUGAAGGACGGGACUAACGCCGAUAUGCUUCGGGGAGCUGUAAGUAAGCUUUGAUCCGAAGAUUUCCGAAUGGGGAAACCCACCAUACGUAAUGGUAUGGUAUCCUUAUCUGAAUACAUAGGAUAAGGAAGACAGACCCAGGGAACUGAAACAUCUAAGUACCUGGAGGAAGAGAAAGCAAAUGCGAUUUCCUGAGUAGCGGCGAGCGAAACGGAACAUAGCCCAAACCAAGAGGCUUGCCUCUUGGGGUUGUAGGACAUUCUAUACGGAGUUACAAAGGAACGAGGUAGACGAAGCGACCUGGAAAGGUCCGUCGUAGAGGGUAACAACCCCGUAGUCGAAACUUCGUUCUCUCUUGAAUGUAUCCUGAGUACGGCGGAACACGUGAAAUUCCGUCGGAAUCUGGGAGGACCAUCUCCCAAGGCUAAAUACUCCCUAGUGAUCGAUAGUGAACCAGUACCGUGAGGGAAAGG
rnacentral:rRNA from 1 species